rnacentral:rRNA from 1 species
UAAGGAAUAUUGGUCAAUGGACGCAAGUCUGAACCAGCCAUGCCGCGUGAAGGAUUAAGGCCCUCUGGGUUGUAAACUUCUUUUAUAGGGGAAGAAAUGUGACGGUUCUCCGUCACUUGACGGUACCCUGGGGAUAAGCACCGGCUAACUCCGUACCAGCAGCCGCGGUAAUACGGAGGGUGCAAGCGUUAUCCGGAUUCACUGGGUUUAAAGGGUGCGUAGGUGGGCAGAUAAGUCAGUGGUGAAAUCUUCCGGCUUAACCGGGAAACUGCCGUUGAUACUAUUUGUCUUGAAUAUUGUGGAGGUAAGCGGAAUAUGUCAUGUAGCGGUGAAAUGCUUAGAUAUGACAUAGAACACCAAUUGCGAAGGCAGCUUGCUACACAAUCAUUGACGCUGAGGCACGAAAGCGUGGGGAUCAAACA